rnacentral:tRNA from 1 species
GCGCCAGUAGCUCAAUCGGAUAGAGCAUCAGCCUUCUAAGCUGGGGGUUAGUGGUUCGAGUCCACUCUGGCGUA